UACAGAGGUCUCAAGCGUUGUUCGGAUUCAUUGGGCGUAAAGGGUGUGUAGGUGGCGCCGUAAGUCGGGUGUGAAAUCUCGGGGCUUAACUCCGAAACUGCAUUCGAUACUGCGGUGCUUGAGGACUGGAGAGGAGACUGGAAAUUCAUGGUGUAGCAGUGAAAUGCGUAGAGAUCAUGAGGAAGACCAGUGGCGAAGGCGGGUCUCUGGACAGUUCCUGACACUGAGACACGAAGGCCAGGGGAGCAAACGGG
rnacentral:rRNA from 1 species